GUCGAGUACUUCACUCGUUUCAAAACAAACGUUUGACCUUUCAUUUUAUUUAAAAAAUUUUUAUGAUUAUUUUUUUAUUAUUAGAUGGUAAAACAUAAAUAGUUUUUUAUGUGUGACUAUUUUUUUUAAUUUUUUUAAAUAAAAUAAACGGUUAAACGUUGAACACGGAUACUUACGACAUCACUUAUU
rnacentral:pre_miRNA from 1 species